rnacentral:misc_RNA from 1 species
AAGUCGUAACAAGGUAACCGUAGGUGAACCUGCGGUUGGAUCAUUAAAAAAUUUGGAACUUUACUGUUCCGAACAUCAUGUGCACUAUAUCUGUCUCUGGCAGGCUCUUUGGUUCGUUACUGAAAGUGACUUCUCAAGGUGACGGUUUUUCCGGCGCCUGGCACCCCCUGAAAGGGGGGCGCAGAGUUCAACACUGGUAGGUGCGGAUCAAAUCCUGCCGCUGGAUUGGGAGGAUCAAAUCUCCCGGUCCUUGAAAUGAAACGUUCUGUUACUUUGUAAGUCUGAUUCUGUUUCACCUUGUGUGAAAUUGAGAAAACAACUUUUGACAAUGGAUCUCUUGGCUCUC